GGCGAGUGAAGCGGCAACAGCUCAAAUUUGAAAUCUGGCCCCCCGCGGGCCCGAGUUGUACUUUGGAGAGGACGCUUCUGGCGCGGCGCCGGCCGAGUGCCCUGGAACGGGCCGCCGGAGAGGGUGAGAGCCCCGUACGGCCGGCCGCCUAGCCUCUGCGAAGCUCCUUCGACGAGUCGAGUAGUUUGGGAAUGCUGCUCAAAAUGGGAGGUAAAUUUCUUCUAAAGCUAAAUACCGGCCAGAGACCGAUAGCGCACAAGUAGAGUGAUCGAAAGAUGAAAAGCACUUUGAAAAGAGGGUUAAACAGUACGUGAAAUUGCUGAAAGGGAAGCGCCUGUGGCCAGACUUGCGCCCCGCGGACCACCCGGCGCCCGCGCCGGGGCACGCCGCGGGGCGCAGGCCAGCAUCGGCUCUCCCAGGGGGACAAAGGCCGCGGGAACGUAGCGCCCUCGGGCGUGUUACAGCCCGCGGCGCCAUGCCCCUGGGGGGGCCGAGGACCGCGCUCCGGCAAGGAUGCUGGCGUAAUGGCCACCGGCGACCCGUCUUGAAACACGGACCAAGGAGUCAAGCAGUGGGGCGAGUGUCUGGGUGGCAAACCCGCACGCGGAAUGAAAGUGAACGCAGGUGGGAGCUUCGGCGCACCACCGACCGAUCCUGAUGUCUUCGGAUGGAUUUGAGUAGGAGCCUUGCCGCUUGGACCCGAAAGAUGGUGAACUAUGCCUGUAUAGGGUGAAGCCAGAGGAAACUCUGGUGGAGGCUCGCAGCGGUUCUGACGUGC
rnacentral:rRNA from 1 species